UACGUAGGGGGCUAGCGUUGUCCGGAAUCAUUGGGCGUAAAGCGCGUGUAGGCGGUCCGGUAAGUCCGCUGUGAAAGUCGAGGGCUCAACCCUCGAAUGCCGGUGGAUACUGUCGGGCUUGAGUACGGGAGAGGCGAGUGGAAUUCCUGGUGUAGCGGUGAAAUGCGCAGAUAUCAGGAGGAACACCCGUGGCGAAGGCGGGUCUCUGGGCCGAUACUGACGCUGAGGAGCGAAAGCGUGGGGAGCAAACAGG
rnacentral:rRNA from 1 species